rnacentral:rRNA from 1 species
UACAGAGGUCCCGAGCGUUGUUCGGAUUCACUGGGCGUAGAGGGUGCGUAGGUGGUGAGGUAAGUCGGAUGUGAAAGCUCGGAGCUCAACUCCGAAAUGGCAUUGGAAACUACCUUGCUCGAGGGUUGGAGGGGGGACUGGAAUGCUUGGUGUAGCAGUGAAAUGCGUAGAUAUCAAGUGGAACACCAGUGGCGAAGGCGAGUCUCUGGACAUUUCCUGACGCUGAGGCACGAAAGCCAGGGGAGCAAACGGG